GGUGGCGGGCGCGGCAGCGACGAGAUGUAAAAUGUAAAAUGAAAUGGGAAUGAGAUGGUGAUAGAAAGAAAAGGAACGGUAAAGACCUAGGUUCUUUACCGAGAGUAGCCCGUCGACUUUCGAUAACUAUUGUGAACGGCUAGGUUUAGGUGCUUUACCCAGUGUAACGCUCGGUAAAUGUAGUCUUUACCAAGAGCGGCCAGGCGACUCUCGGGAACCAUUGUGAACGGCUAGGUUUAGGUGCUUUACCGAGAGCGGCAUGUUGACUUUCGAUAACUAUUGUGCCAUUCUUUUAUUUCCAUUUU
rnacentral:lncRNA from 1 species